rnacentral:rRNA from 1 species
AUGGCCAGAGUGUUGCAUGUCUACGACUACGGGCAAGUGGUCAGAAAAGAGACGUUUGUACGUGGCACAGGACGGUUUGUGAUCAGUGAUGACAUGACAGUCAAGCCAGCAUCUACCGGAGUCAUACAGUCGUUGCCUCAGGCGUUCGGUUCUAAUGGAAUCGCCCAUGGCUUUGAGGAGCUCGAAGUGACCGUCAGCUGGCACAGUGUUUCAUCCAUGCUGAAGGCCUGCCUUUCAUCAGAUACUGUGCUCGGUGAUGCAUUCCUAACAAAUGAACCUGAUGGCAAGGCUUCUCAUGCUACUGCAAAACCGAGCAUCAACCGGAAAAAUCCACCGUCCGAUCAAGAUUCCGCAGGUUCUUUCCCAGAAAGCAAGAUCAAGAUUUUGACACCUAUAAAAAGAAGGUCAUGUAUGCUGAAUGCAACCGUGAGUUCGUGGACCUGCUCAUGGGUUUCUUGA